rnacentral:rRNA from 1 species
AUUGAACGCUGGCGGCAGGCCUAACACAUGCAAGUAGAACGAGUGGCGGACGGGUGAGUAAUGUCUGGGAAACUUCCUGAUGGCGGGGGAUAACUAAUGGAAACGGUAGCUAAUACCGCCUACCAUCAGCUUUGCCCAGAUGGGAUUAGCUUGUUGGUGGGGUAACGGCGCACCAAGGCGACGAUACCUCGCUGGUCUGAGAGGAUGACCAGCCACACUGGAACUGAGACACGGUCCAGACUCCUACGGGAGGCAGCAGUGGGGAAUAUUGCACAAUGGGCGCAAGCCUGAUGCAGCCAUGCCGCGUGUAGGAAGAAGGCCUUCGGGUUGUAAAGUACUUUCAGCGGGGAGGCGUUACCCGCAGAAGAAGCACCGGCUAACUCCGUGCCAGCAGCCGCGGUAAUUC